rnacentral:rRNA from 1 species
UACGUAGGUGGCAAGCGUUGUCCGGAUUUAUUGGGUUUAAAGGGUGCGUAGGCGGUCUUAUAAGUCAGUGCUGAAAUAUCCCGGCUUAACCGGGAGGGUGGCAUUGAUACUGUAGGACUUGAGUAAAGUUGAGGUUGGCGGAAUUGACGGUGUAGCGGUGAAAUGCGCAGAUAUCGGGAGGAACACCAAUUGCGAAGGCAGCUCGCUGGGACGUUACUGACGCUGAGACGCGAAAGCGUGGGGAGCAAACAGG